rnacentral:rRNA from 1 species
UACAGAGGGUGCGAGCGUUAAUCGGAAUUACUGGGCGUAAAGCGUGCGUAGGCGGUUGUCUAAGUUUGGUGUGAAAUCUCCUGCUUAACUGGGAGGGUGCGCCGAAAACUGGGUGACUGGAGUGUCGGAGAGGUAAGCGGAAUUCCUGGUGUAGCGGUGAAAUGCGUAGAGAUCAGGAGGAACACCUGUGGUGUAGACAGCUUACUGGACGAUAACUGACGCUGAGGCACGAAAGCGUGGGUAGCAAACAGG